rfam:Salmo salar isolate Sally breed double haploid chromosome ssa06, whole genome shotgun sequence.
GAAUGUACUAACUGUAAGUCGCUUUGGAUAAGAGCAUCUGCUAAAUGACUAAAA